GCGCCGUUAGCUCAGCUGGUAGAGCAGCUCCCUCUUAAGGAGACGGUCGGGGGUUCGAUCCCCUCACGGCGCA
rnacentral:tRNA from 1 species